rnacentral:rRNA from 1 species
GAUGAACGCUGGCGGCGUGCCUAAUACAUGCAAGUCGAGCGAACAGACGAGGAGCUUGCUCCUUUGACGUUAGCGGCGGACGGGUGAGUAACACGUGGGUAACCUACCUAUAAGACUGGGAUAACUUCGGGAAACCGGAGCUAAUACCGGAUAAUAUUUCGAACCGCAUGGUUCGAUAGUGAAAGAUGGCUUUGCUAUCACUUAUAGAUGGACCUGCGCCGUAUUAGCUAGUUGGUAAGGUAACGGCUUACCAAGGCAACGAUACGUAGCCGACCUGAGAGGGUGAUCGGCCGCACUGGAACUGAGACACGGUCCAGACUCCUACGGGAGGCAGCAGUAGGGAAUCUUCCGCAAUGGGCGAAAGCCUGACGGAGCAACGCCGCGUGAGUGAUGAAGGUCUUCGGAUCGUAAAACUCUGUUAUUAGGGAAGAAUAAACGUGUAAGUAACUGUGCACGUCUUGACGGUACCUAAUCAGAAAGCCACGGCUAACUACGUG